CCUACGGGAGGCAGCAGUGGGGAAUAUAGGACAAUGGGCGAAAGCCUGAUCCAGCCAUGCCGCGUGUGUGAAGAAGGCCUUCGGGUUGUAAAGCACUUUCAGUGGGGAAGAAAGCCUUGGGGCUAAUACCCUCGAGGAAGGACAUCACCCACAGAAGAAGCACCGGCUAACUCCGUGCCAGCAGCCGCGGUAAUACGGAGGGUGCGAGCGUUAAUCGGAAUUACUGGGCGUAAAGCGCGCGUAGGCGGUCUGAUAAGCCGGUUGUGAAAGCCCCGGGCUCAACCUGGGAACGGCAUCCGGAACUGUCAGGCUAGAGUGCAGGAGAGGAAGGUAGAAUUCCCGGUGUAGCGGUGAAAUGCGUAGAGAUCGGGAGGAAUACCAGUGGCGAAGGCGGCCUUCUGGACUGACACUGACGCUGAGGUGCGAAAGCGUGGGUAGCAAACAGGAUUAGAUACCCGAGUAGUC
rnacentral:rRNA from 1 species